GGUAUUGAAAUAAGAUUUUAAAUGAGUGCUAAGAGAAUGAUUAAACAAUUAAAAACUUUCUUUAAUUAAAAAAUUAAAUUUAAUUUUUUUGGUGCGAAAGCAAAAAUAAAAUUUAGGGACAAGAAGACCCUAUGAAUUUUUAUUAUUAAUAUUUUGCAAUUAAAUUAUUAAUAAUUUAAUUGGGGUGAUAAAAAAAGAAUAAGUAUCUUUUUAAUUGUAAAAUAAGUUCCGUUUUUAGCGAUUAAAUGAAAAAAAUACUCUAGGGAUAACAGCGUAAUAAUUUUGGAUAGUUCAUAUAGAUAAAAUAGUUUGCGACCUCGAUGUUGGAUUAGGAUUCUUUUUUGGUGAAGAA
rnacentral:rRNA from 1 species